rnacentral:rRNA from 1 species
CAACUUUCAACAAUGGAUCUCUUGGCUCUGGCAUCGAUGAAGAACGCAGCGAAAUGCGAUAAGUAGUGUGAAUUGCAGAAUUCAGUGAAUCAUCGAAUCUUUGAACGCACAUUGCGCCCCUUGGUAUUCCAUGGGGCAUGCUUGUUCGAGCGUCAUCU